rnacentral:lncRNA from 1 species
GACACCAAACGGGAGCAGAGUCACCACAAAGGCCACAGCUCUGAGCACGGAGAAAGGUCUUCUUGAGACUUCCUCUGAAGCUCAGUGAAUGAUCUGUUCUCAGCGGUAAGGGAUUAAACAAAGGGCCAAUUGUCAAAAACCCCAGCCAGGGACCAGCCAAGCUUCCUGUGCAGCCAUGAGUGCCUGAGGCGGCCUUUUGUUCUGAGAGGACACCACAUAGCCUCCGCCUCCCCUGGAGUCAGAAAACCAGUCAAGCAGGAAAGCACUGUUGAGAACCUACUCUGUGGAAGGUGCUGGGGGAACACAGAGAGGAAGGCCACCCAGAGCCCAGAAAACAGAGGCAACCGGCCAGUGUUUGCCAAAUGAAGGCUGACGGAGCUGAAUGCUUUGGUGAGAGAGGAAGGAGAUUACGCAUGUGCAAAACAUGGCAUCCGCUUUAAUAAACAGCGAUUCCACAAGGUAGGUGGCACCCCGACUGACAAGGAAACUGAGGACCAGCAAAGAAACAAUCCAAGGUGUGAAGAGAAGGGACUGGAACCGGGACGAGCCCGAUUCCAACACUGCACCUCUUUCCACUCAGCCGCGGAGAGAGUACAAGCACAAAGCAUGUAUUCCAAGGGGAGACUGACAGUCCGUCCUGCCCUCACGCUCCACUUUGAAAAUAACAACAGCAAAGCAUAAGAAAAGAUACCCUAAGGAGAGCAGGGAAAAAGCAGAGGGAUUGUAACCUGGAAACCAGAACAAGCUGAGGAUUCAUUCUCACCUUGUGACAUCUGUAGUUUGGGAAAUGGGAAGCCUGCAGAAUGAUCUCAUGCACUUGAAGCCUG